rnacentral:sRNA from 1 species
AGAUGAGGCUCAGCGAUUGAUUAUUCAGCAAGGACUUGUGGAUGGGUAGAAGAUGACGGUGAAAUGUUCCACACACUGGAUGAUGGCCACACAAGAUUUACAGAUCUAAUACAGCUGGUGGAGUUCUAUCAACUCAAUAAGGGCGUUCUUCCUUGCAAGUUGAAACAUUAUUGUGCUAGGAUUGCUCUCUAGACAAACCAGAAGUGACUUAUUAAACUAUUGAAGAAAAAGGACUCAAGAAAAAUAAUGAAAGACCAUAAAUAAGGGUGAAAACGUUACCAUGUGAAAAGAAUGUAUUUUACCUGCAAGUUACAAAAAAAUAGUUUGUGCAUUGCAAAUAAGCAAAGACUUGGAUUGACUUUACAUUCAUCAUUUAAAAUUCAUUAGUUAAAAUUAAAACUUAGAA